GCCCGCCUGAUGGAAUGGUAGACAUAGCGGACUUAAAAUCCGCAGCCCGCAAGGGCGUGGGGGUUCGAGUCCCCCGGCGGGCA
rnacentral:tRNA from 1 species